CUUCCACUAGCAGUGGAAGGAUGUUCUAUUUCAUUUUUGGUUAGCUGGGAGCAUCUGUAUGUCAUAUUCUGCUUCUAAACUCUGUGACCUUCAUCGAUGUCUUCCUCCACCUUCUCUGGGCAGCAUACUUUUUUAGUGUAGUCUGGAAGAAGAGAUUCAGGGAAAAGGAAAAAAAAACUGGAUGAGUGAAAUUACAUUUCCAAAAGUAAUUCCAUUUUUUUCCACGUCACCCCUAAAAUAUCAUGGCACUUUAUAACAUCAAGGUCAGUCAGCAUGGAUUGACAAGCCCCCUGGACUUUGGAUGACUUCUCUGAAGCCCCAGCUGUGCCUGGCUGGGCCAUCUCCCUUCUCCACUUGGCCACAGCAUAAUCUGCAGUCAAGCCACAAGAGUGACCUCAAUGCCUCAGGCCACUUUUCCAGGCUCAGCUUUUCUUAUGGGCCCAGCCCACUUACAACAGAAAUUUGCCGAAGAUUGGGUUGGGGUAGCAACUGUUAAGGAAACGCCCUCCUCUCCUCUGAUCCUGCCCACUCCACGAGCAACCAGAUACGGAAUGUGCUGGUGUUGUCAGGAAGCCUGAAAAUGUGCGUUAUUUCCCGAGCUCCUUAGCUUUACACAGCACCGUGGCCUGACAUUUAAAAUUAAUCUACGCAGUAAAGUUAUUAACGUUUGAAUGUUAGCACUGGGAUAUCCACAGUGACCUCUCCUCCCACGCUGGUAUUUGUUUGAUAAGGAUUCCCAGGCUGUGACAGAGUCCAGAGCAAUGCAGUCAUACUUGCUUUUUAUUAAUUUGGAUACUGGGCCUCACCUUGGGACAUCUCCAAGCAUUCUGCAGGAGGGCUCUGAUUUCUUCAGGCAAUAGCCCAAGCAUCCCUGAGCCAGCUCCUGCAGAUGCCGAAUAGGCUUCUUCCACCCAAAGAGACAACAAAGACCCAGAGAACAGUCAACAGGAUUUUUUAAAGCUGCUGGGGAACCAUUGUUCUGGGGCUGCAACAAGCACAUAGAUUACCAUGGUUGUAG
rnacentral:lncRNA from 10 species